UGUUCCCACAAGGUUUCGAACCUGGGACCUUCUGCGUGUGAAGCGGACGUGAUAACCACUACAUCAUGGGAAC
rnacentral:tRNA from 13 species